rnacentral:pre_miRNA from 1 species
GGCCUCUGCCUGUCCCAGGGGGAGGCCGGAUCCUGGGCUGUGUCCUGGCAGCCUUUGCUCCGGUGCCUGCGCUGUUGGAUUCGUGCUCCCGGCCGCGCAGCCCCCUCCG